rnacentral:rRNA from 1 species
AUUGAACGCUGGCGGCAUGCCUUACACAUGCAAGUCGAACGGCAGCACGGGAGCAAUCCUGGUGGCGAGUGGCGAACGGGUGAGUAACAUAUCGGAACGUGCCCAGUAGUGGGGGAUAGCCCGGCGAAAGCCGGAUUAAUACCGCAUACGACCUGCGGGUGAAAGCGGGGGAUCGCAAGACCUCGCGCUAUUGGAGCGGCCGAUAUCAGAUUAGCUAGUUGGUGGGGUAAAAGCCUACCAAGGCGACGAUCUGUAGCUGGUCUGAGAGGACGACCAGCCACACUGGGACUGAGACACGGCGCAGACUCCUACGGGAGGCAGCAGUGGGGAAUUUUGGACAAUGGGCGCAAGCCUGAUCCAGCCAUGCCGCGUGCGGGAAGAAGGCCUUCGGGUUGUAAACCGCUUUUGUCAGGGAAGAAACGGUCCGCGCUAAUACCGCGGGCUAAUGACGGUACCUGAAGAAUAAGCACCGGCUAACUACGUGCCAGCCGCCGCGGUAAAAC